CCACAGGGUGGCAGAUCUGUGCCGGUGCAGUGACCCCAAGGCAGACUCCGGGUGGGGGACCCCAAAAGGCUCCCACGCUGGGGUCCCACCGAGGCCUGAGCGAGAGCCUGUGAGCAGGAGGGGCAGGCAAGGCCCUCUCUGAGCCUCAGCCCCAGUGGGGGGCUGCGGGAGGCGGCAGAGUGGCACGGAGGGACACCCCCCCGCUGUUGUUUUGUUUUAUUUGGGGGGGGCGUUGGUCUAGUUCUUUGUUUUUGAAUUUUUUUUUUUAAAUUUUGGGACAGGGUCUCACUAUGUAGUUCAGGUUGCCCUUGAACUCAUUAUGGAGCUAGGCCGCCCUCAAACCUGCAGCAGCCCUCCUGCCUCAGCCUCCCAGUGCUAGGAUUCUUGGGACUGAAAUGCCCAGCGGAGAAGCCAAGUGACUCAGAAGAGGAAAGGACAAGAGGGGGGUCUCUCUGGAAAGACGCCAGGACUGCGCAUGUCCCCCGCUGACCAGGUCCUGUGACGAGUGUGCCCACUGUGCCCUUCUGUGAGGUUCCCUUAAACCCUCUCUCUCCUUUCUUCCCUUCCUUCUGUCCCUCCCUUCCUGGUACUGGGCUUUCGCUGGGCUACAUCCCCAGUCUUUUUUGUUUUUUGAGACAGGGUCUGGCCACAUUGUCCAGGCUGGGCUCCUACUUGUAAUCCUCCUGCCUCAGCCUCCAAGACUGCUGGGAUUGCUAGAAUGUGCUACCACACCUGGCUUCUUCAAGCGUUGUUUUCUUGGGGCUGCCCGAUUCUUGGGCCAGGAGUGGGGUGCAGGCAGCAGCUCUGAGCCACGGGGACCACGGCCUGACGACCAGAGAAACUGAGGCCAGAGGGCAGGGCCUGAGGGCCUCCUGCCCUGGGCCCCCAGCUUCCCUGCCUGUGCGGCCCCCACAGGAAUGACCCUCUGCACCAGAGGCCUGGCCCGGAAUCCAGGCAGGUCGGUCCCCAAGUUUCCUCCCCGGCCGCCCCCUCCUGUCUGGGCUCCUCCCCGCCGA
rnacentral:lncRNA from 1 species